rnacentral:lncRNA from 1 species
UGCAUUGUUUUAAUAUAUAGGCCAGCACUUUACACUUAGCACAAAGUUCUUUGUCAUAAAUUAUUCUUUUGGGGCAAUGAUUACAUGCUAAUAUAUAUUAGUGUUCUCUUACAUUAAUAUGUUUACUUCUUUUGAAAACACGUUUCUUCCAGAAACAGUAAAAACUAAAUAGGAAGUAAAACAUUAGAACAACCCCUAUUGAAGAUAAAAGUAUGAUUAAGAUAUUGAAAAAACAAUUUAAUGUGUAAAAACAACCUGGGACAUCAGACAGGUUAUUGGCAAAAGUGCAUCUUUAUACAUAGUUAGCCUUGCCACUGAGGUUCUCAUGGGAGGGUAGGUGUGGUGAGGGAGCAAAGUUGGACAGGAAUAGAAAGUUUUGAAAGAGGGACCUUGCAUGACUAGGUUUGUGCCUUUAAAAACUAAAGUUUAACGUCUGAGAGUGGAGAGACUGAAGACAGAGAUACUCAGGUAAGAGAUGACAGACCAUGAAGAGGAAGAGAAGGGGAAGGGGAAGGGACAAGAGAUAUUUGGGAAUCAGAAAACCCAGGACUUGGUUUCCUAGCCACUAUGAUAGUGUCACUAGGUAUAAAAAUGUCAUAUAGGCUUAAGCAUGAGGAAUAAGAUGCCAGGAACUUGAUGCCAUCUACAAACUAAAUUUCAUCCUGAUCAGUGCGUCUUAUUACCCAUUAAUUCAUUUAUUAAAUAUUUAUUGACUGAUCAUCCACAGUCUCCAGACACUGCUGGUUUUGUUAUACAGGACUGAGAAAGAAAUACUGCCGAUCCUCACCAAGAGAGGGGAGUUGGCAAGCACAGUGAUAGCUGUAAUGGUUGGGUUCUACCUUUAGCAGAGAUUUCAACAACAUCCCUUUUGGAGGAGAGGAUAAGAGCAGCCUCAGCCCAAAUCAAAGACUACACCCUCAGAGUCAUUCCUCAGCAGGACAGCAUCCAUUGGCUGCCUCAACUACAGAUUUCUGGCACUCGAAAUCAAGCAGAAUGAUCUGGUAAACUGAAACCCCUGAGAUUCUUGUCCGGCUCUGCUCUGAGCUGGGUUAUUUAUAUCCCUGGUCUCAAGUCCAGAUUCCCAGAUGCAGUGGAGACUGGACAUGUGUGAUAGUAUCUAGGGCAUGAUUGCUGUACUCAUACUCACUCUGAAAGCCAUCUCCUGUCCCACUCUUAGCUACUGAAUAGUGUAAACAGAAAAGAUUAUUUGAGGGGAAAAAUUGAUCAAUUAGAAUACUUGUCUGUGGUAAGUACUACAUUUGAAGACUAUGGAAUAAAAGUAUAUCUUUAUUUUGAAGAAAAAAUGCAUUGCAAACUAGUUUCAUUAGAUUAUUGUUGUCAUUUUUACUUCCACCAAGGUUGGAAGGAAAAGAUAGGAUCAGGAUAAUCUUCAGUUUCUCAUGGCCACAGACCAUAAAAAAAUACUCUAAAAUAAUUUGUUUUCCGGGAUGCCUGGGUCGCUCAGUGGUUGAGCAUCUGCCUUUGGCUUACAUCAUCAUUCUGGGGUCCUGGGAUUGAGUCCCACAUCAGGCUCCACACAGGGAACCUGUUUCUCCCUCUGCCUAUGUCUCUGCCUCUCUCUGUGGGUCUCUCAUGAGUAAAUAGAUAAAAUCUAUAAAUAAAAAUAAAUUAAAAAUAAAAUAAUUUGUUUUCCAUGCUUGGCAGGAAAGAAUAUAUUUUUUUAAGAACUGGAUACCUGGGGGAGGGUACCUGGGGGGCUCAGUUGGUUGAGCAUCUGACUCUUGGUUUCAGCUCAUGUCAUGAUUUCUCAGGGUCCUGGGAUCAAGCCCUGUGUCAGGCUCCCCAAUUGGCAGAGAGUCCAUUUGUCUCCUUUUCCCUCUGCCCUUCCUCCCUGCUCGCACAUGUUCAUUCUCUCUCAAAUAAAUCUUAAAAAAAAAAAAAAAAAAAAA